AGUGAACGCUGGCGGUAGGCCUAACACAUGCAAGUCGAACGGCAGCACAGUAAGAGCUUGCUCUUACGGGUGGCGAGUGGCGGACGGGUGGGGAAUACAUCGGAAUCUACUUUUUCGUGGGGGAUAACGCAGGGAAACUUACGCUAAUACCGCAUACGACCUACGGGUGAAAGCAGGGGAUCUUCGGACCUUGCGCGAUUGAAUGAGCCGAUGUCGGAUUAGCUAGUUGGCGGGGUAAAGGCCCACCAAGGCGACGAUCCGUAGCUGGUCUGAGAGGAUGAUCAGCCACACUGGAACUGAGACACGGUCCAGACUCCUACGGGAGGCAGCAGUGGGGAAUAUUGGACAAUGGGCGCAAGCCUGAUCCAGCCAUACCGCGUGGGUGAAGAAGGCCUUCGGGUUGUAAAGCCCUUUUGUUGGGAAAGAAAAGCAGCAGGUUAAUACCCCGCUGUUCUGACGGUACCCAAAGAAUAAGCACCGGCUAACUUCGUG
rnacentral:rRNA from 1 species